ACAACAGCUCUCAUGGAUCUAAUCGGCUGUAUUUUCUUUUUGUUGCUGAACGCUGUGGUUAGCUUCGUACCUACGCUGGCUGCGAACAAUGGCAGGCUUCGGCCCAUCACUUUUAUCAUCCCUCUACAACACGAAGUUGUUUAUUGGGUUGAAGUCUUCCAUUGGGUUUCAAGCUGCGGAGCUUCCACUUGUUCGUACGUUGCUUGCAGUCAUGUAACAUUAACGACAUUGUUCUUUAAGCUCACAUUAUCUCCCAAUUUGCUACCAUGAAAUGAUUGAUCUAUGCAUAUCAUCAUUCUUCUUUCA